rnacentral:rRNA from 1 species
UGCGGAAGGAUCAUUAUUGAAAUUAUAGGNGAGGGUUGUAGCUGGCCUCUCGGGGCAUGUGCACGCCCGAGCCCUUAAUCCACACACACCUGUGAACCUAUUGUAAGGGCCCUUAAAAAAGGCCUUUACGUCUUAUCAUCAACCCAUCGUAUGUCUCAUAGAAUGUAAAUAUAUGUCCUCGCCUUAAAAAGCGUUGAUAAACUUAUACAACUUUCAACAACGGAUCUCUUGGCUCUCGCAUCGAUGAAGAACGCAGCGAAAUGCGAUAAGUAAUGUGAAUUGCAGAUUUUCAGUGAAUCAUCGAAUCUUUGAACGCACCUUGCGCUCCUUGGUAUUCCGAGGAGCAUGCCUGUUUGAGUGUCAUUAAAUUCUCAACUCNGAUCGAUUUGUUUCGACUUCGGAGCUUGGAUUUGGAGCGUGCUGGCGUCGGUCGGCUCCUCUUAAAUGCAUCAGCGGAAUCUAACGUUUCGGAUGUCAGUGUGAUAAUCAUGUUGCGCUGUCUGUCUGAUCCGAAAGCCCGCUCAC